AUGCAUCACAAGGACAAGGAUCAUAUACCCUGCAUGAAAACUAGCAAAAUUCUAGGAAGGCUUGUGGGAUUGGAAAGCAAGAUACCUGUACCUCACUUCUCAGAUAAAGACACGAAGAGGCAGCAGGACUCCUUCCCAGAUGAAGACGAGGGAGAGGAAUGGCCACUUGCUGCACAUCAGCAGACAUGGCCUCCUGCAGCCUCUGGGAUUUCUUUCCCUUUCAUGGUGCAGGAGCUCAGAAUGGUGGCCACAUGCCCAAGGAUGGCAUCAAGGCAGCAGAGAGAGCAAUGGACCUGUGAGGGCCAUCUUGAUAGGACACAGAUACAUCUCCAAAGCGCCCUAAUUAGAGAUAUCUGAACCAGAAAAAUCACCGUAAGUGAUGAAAGCAUGGUGUGCAAAUCGACUCUCUGUGUGCCUGUAGAGAGAUUCACAUCCAGGUAAAUAACUCUUCGGGCCCCCUGGUCAGGACUUAUCAGCAGAGUCCCUUCCAGGCAGGUAGAAGUUGAGAUGGAAGCAAGAGCAGCUGUGUGCAGUGUAGCUUCAAAAGGCAGGCAGAUAACUAGACUUAUCUGCCUCCAGGCAGGUCCUCGACAAGAGAAAGCCUAUCAGACAGGCAACAGUUCUUGCCUGCCCAGAAAAUAAACUGGAAGCCACAGGGGCCGGGGUUCUGAGU
rnacentral:lncRNA from 12 species